rnacentral:rRNA from 1 species
UGUUAGCGGCGGACGGGUGAGUAACACGUGGAUAACCUACCUAUAAGACUGGGAUAACUUCGGGAAACCGGAGCUAAUACCGGAUAAUAUUUUGAACCGCAUGGUUCAAAAGUGAAAGACGGUCUUGCUGUCACUUAUAGAUGGAUCCGCGCUGCAUUAGCUAGUUGGUAAGGUAACGGCUUACCAAGGCAACGAUGCAUAGCCGACCUGAGAGGGUGAUCGGCCACACUGGAACUGAGACACGGUCCAGACUCCUACGGGAGGCAGCAGUAGGGAAUCUUCCGCAAUGGGCGAAAGCCUGACGGAGCAACGCCGCGUGAGUGAUGAAGGUCUUCGGAUCGUAAAACUCUGUUAU